GAUGAACGCUGGCGGCGUGCCUAAUACAUGCAAGUCGAGCGAACAGACGAGGAGCUUGCUCCUCUGACGUUAGCGGCGGACGGGUGAGUAACACGUGGAUAGCCUACCUAUAAGACUGGGAUAACUUCGGGAAACCGGAGCUAAUACCGGAUAAUAUAUUGAACCGCAUGGUUCAAUAGUGAAAGACGGUUUUGCUGUCACUUAUAGAUGGAUCCGCGCCGCAUUAGCUAGUUGGUAAGGUAGCGGCUUACCAAGGCAACGAUGCGUAGCCGACCUGAGAGGGUGAUCGGCCACACUGGAACUGAGACACGGUCCAGACUCCUACGGGAGGCAGCAGUAGGGAAUCUUCCGCAAUGGGCGAAAGCUUGACGGAGCAACGCCGCGUGAGUGAUGAAGGUCUUCGGAUCGUAAAACUCUGUUAUUAGGGAAGAACAAAUGUGUAAGUAACUAUGCACGUCUUGACGGUACCUAAUCAGAAAGCCACGGCUAACUACGUG
rnacentral:rRNA from 1 species